rnacentral:rRNA from 1 species
CCUACGGGCGACAGCAGUGAGGAAUAUUGGUCAAUGGUCAGGAGCCUGAACCAGCCAAGCCGCGUGAGGGAGGGCGGUACUGCGGAUUGUAAACCUCUUUUGUCAAGGAAUAAAGUGUGGCACGUGUGCCUUGUUGUGUGUACUUUAUGAAUAAGGAUCGGCUAACUCCGUGCCAGCAGCCGCGGUGAUACGGAGGAUCCGAGCGUUAUCCGGAUUUAUUGGGUUUAAAGGGUGCGGAGAUGGGUUGUUAAGUCAGCUGUGAAAGUUUGCGGCUCAACCGUGAAAUUGCAAUUGAUACUGGCAGCCUUGAGUAGAGGUGAGGUAGGCGGAAUGCGCGGUGUAGCGGUGAAAUGCAUAGAUAUCACGAAGAACUCCGAUUGCGAAGGCAGCAUACUAA